UCGAGCGGGUCCCUCUUAGACCUGCUUUCGUUUCUAUCUUCCAAAUGUGAUCCGAAUCUCAGCAAUGGAAGCGUUAGAUCAAAGAUUGAAGAUCUAAACUGGGAUCCAUGCGGGAGUUGUCGGGAGAUUCACGGACUGAUGCGAUUCCCCGGCAGGUGAAUCUUGCCUUCUGCUAAACUGGAGAACCCUGAACUUGUGGCGUGGUUAGAACCAGUUGCUGAGUUGCUUGAUUUGGAUCUGAAAGAGGGUUGUCGGCUGGAUUGCUUAAGCAAGCUACAUACACAAUAGCACGACUUGGGUCAUUUAGAUCAAUAAGGGACGUCCCUGUAUUCAAGGAACGGUUUCAACAUGACAAUGAUGGUAAACUUAACUCUAAAUAUUACCUUUAUAAUUAGAAUUUGUGCUCUUUAUUGUCUGUUUUUGAAUUAUAAUUUUUUAUAUAAUUGACACCUUUUAUCUCGGAAUAUGAUCUAUGAAGUAGCAUAUGAACGCAAUCCUUAUCAAAAUCCACACCUAGGGGAGCUCAAAUAAGAGGAUUAAUCUUAACAGUAUGGUCGUCAUGCACAUAGACAGAAAAUGCUUGCAAAGAAUGUUUAUGAGUACUCGAUAAUUUUGGAGUCCUUCUUGGUUAGGGUUUGGGCUGAAAGUAUGAGUGUUGGAGCCGACGCUUUCGGAGUCCGAACUCAUUCUUUUGAAGAAUAGAAAAAUGGGAAUAUUAGUAAAUAUGGAUUUUCUUGUUAAGAAGAAAAUGGAAGAUGGAUUGAAAAAACAUCCAGUAGAUUUUUUCUUCUUCUUCUUCUUUUUUGCUUCAAGAGAGAGAGACGGAGAGGUGAGAGUGGGGAAAUCGAGGGAGAGAGUGGGGGAAUGAAGUGGCCGCGUGAGAUUUGAAAAUAGCGAGUGCAGUUUGGUUUGAAAAUGAUGUUUCGCAUGCGUGGCAUGCAUGUCCAUGAGAUGUGUUUGUGUCCAGCAGAUUACUUUUAGAUUGUGUUUGUGUUUGUGUCCAGCAGAUUACUUUCUUAUUGUUUUUAGCACAGAUCUAUUGUUGUGGGCCUCUCUCUCAUUUGAUGAUUGCAAUCUAUACCAUGUGCAAUUCAAAUGGUAGUGUGCUAUUACAGUAUGUGUUGCACGAGGUUCCUAGAACUACGGUGACCUUUUGUCCAAGGCAGGUAAUGUCUAUCUAUGCCAUCCAAUUCUCAGAUGAGGGGAGUGGCACAUCAUGAAUUUUUUGUAGCAUGGAGUAGUUUCCUAAGCUUAUCACUGGGAGGGAGCUGGUUGAUCUC